AAACUUUAUUCCUCUCUCAAGAGUUCAUCCAUCAGUUUCAGCCUUCAUCUAAGCUGGGGACAUGUGGAUCUGACCUGGUGAAUCUUUGGAAGAGUACAGAUGUGAAAAUUCCAGUUUGAGGAAGCCAGAGCUUUGGUUGUUGACCUUUUCUUGUUGGCGACAUCUUAAAACUCCAUUUCUUCUUGGCAUCUCUUCAGCUAUUUUCUGCACAACUUGUGCUCCAAGCAGAGCAGGGCUUUUUUCUGUGCCUUGACAGAACUGCUUAAGAUUUGAGCAACUGGAAGGGGCCAGUCAAAAAGUCAUUGCUGUCAGCUGCCUCAUGGAAAAAAUGCCUGUUCCCAUCAGAAAUAACACCACUGCAUCUGGUCAUAGCUGGCUGACACUGUAGAUGUCAUCUCAGAAAAGGGUAAAAAUAUUGAACAAGUCUCUGGAUUUUCUUGUCACUCUCCAAACAUGCUCUGGCCAAGUCCUGCUUUAAAAUGAAAGGAGCCACUGUUUUCCAGGAGUGAUGCCGGAGUGAGAGAGCUUUGUCAUCUGGUGGAACCAAAAAGUGAGGGACUCCAGUGGUGGAGCCAGAGCUGCCCCUUCUCUAAGUGGUCUGACCAGCCACACUGCACUGACAGAUGGGAUGGAUGGACAGAGGAACAGUGAAGAAUCUGGAAACAUCACACAUCAGCACUUGCUGAAAGCACUGGAUGUAUUCCCACUGCUUUCUCCCCCAUUCCUGUGGAGGAGGAGAAUGGAUAGCACAUCCAGCCUUCAGGUGGCUGCUAAUGUGACAUAUACAACUUCAGACAUUUGUGUGAGCACCCAGAAUAACAGAACAAAGUUGGUGACAACCUGAGGUCAUCUUGCCUAUAAACCAC